rnacentral:rRNA from 1 species
ACAUUCUCAACUGUUUUAGAAGAGAAGCAUUUAUUAGAUAAAAAACCAAUAUAUGUUUUUAAAGCAUAAAAUUUGGUGAUUUACAAUAACUAAGCAAAUCGCACAGUGCAAACUGGCGAUAAAUCAUUCAAGUUUCUGACCUAUCAGCUUUCGACGGUAUGGUAUUGGCUUACCGUGGCAGUGACGGUUAACGGGGGAUUAGGGUUCGAUUCCGGAGAGGGAGCCUGAGAAACGGCUACCACAUCUAAGGAAGGCAGCAGGCGCGCAAAUUACCCAAUUCUAACAGCAUAAGAGAGGUAGUGACAAGAAAUAACAGUACAAGGCAGUUAAAAUGCGUUGUAAUUGGAAUGAUAGAAAUUUAAAUACUUUUUAAAGUAUCAAUUGGAGGGCAAGUCUGGUGCCAGCAGCCGCGGUAAUUCCAGCUCCAAUAGCGUAUAUUAAAAUUGUUGCAGUUAAAAAGCUCGUAGUUGAAUUUUUGCUAAAAAUAACCGGUCUGCUUUUAUUAAUAAGAGUGGUAUCUUGGUGUGUUUUUAGCAAUAAUGUC